GUACUCGAUUCGGUGGUGCAUAGACUAAAAUUGGAACUAUACAGAGAAGGUUAGCAGGGUCCUGUGUAAGGAUGACAUUUGCAAAAAAAUGAGUUAAAGGUGACCUCU